AAUGACCUGAACAAGGUGCUGCAUGGCUGUCGUCAGCUCGUGUCGUGAGAUGUUCGGUUAAGUCCGCUAACGAGCGCAACCCUCGCUGUGUGUUAUAUGUGUCACACGGGACUGCCGGUCUUAAAGCCGGAGGAAGUGGGGAUGAUGUCAAGUCAGCAUGGCCUUUAUAUCCUGGGCUACACACACGCUACAAUGGCCAACACAAUAGGUUGCUAAGCCGCGAGGUGGCGCCAAUCCAUAAAGUUGGUCUCAGUUCAGAUUGUAGGCUGCAACCCGCCUGCAUGAAGAUGGAGUUGCUAGUAACCGCAGGUCAGCUAUACUGCGGUGAAUACGUUCCCGGGGCUU
rnacentral:rRNA from 1 species